rnacentral:rRNA from 1 species
AUGACUGCAAAAACCAGUAGGAAGGAGCGAGGCAGCAACAGCGGGCAGCGGCAUGGGGCAACCGAAGCUGCGAUGAACAUGUGGAAAGUUCGGAAAGCUGCUUUAAAGGAGGCUCAUGCUGCGGAACAGUCCUUCAGGGAAAAAGAACCUGACCGACAUGUUACUCCAUUCGAACCGACAAAAUUUGGUGGCUGCGUCCAGGAAAUUUCGGAUUCGCAUUUCAGGCACAGUGUUGUCUCAAUUUCUCUGCUUGCGGGAGACACGAUAGUAUUCUCAUGCUCGGGAACAGCCGUACGACACUGGAACAAUAUAAUACAAGAACCCCAUACAGUAUUUGUGACUACCUCACGUUUGGUGGUGGAAUUUGAGAAUAAGAGAACCAGGGAUGAUAAUUUUGUGGUUCAAGUCUGUCGUCCUGAUGGUACAACUAUCCCUGGGUUCUUGGGAUUGUGGGAUGAAAAAAUGGAAAUUGCUAUUGUCACGGCCUUCAACAGCCGACUCGUCUACCCUGUGGAUACAUGUGGCCCUCUGGAUCUGCACCGAGACGCAGACAAGCUUAAUCUAUUUGCAGCUGGCCGUCACUUCGAUGGCACUUUGAUGAGCAUAAGAUGCAAUGAUCCUCGUUUCAAAGAUGGCCUUUGGUUUUGCGAAUGUAGUAUCACAGAGGCUGGACUUGGAGGGCCAGUUAUACUAUUUAAUGGUGGUGAAGGAUGCUUUGCUGGGGUGAUAACUAAAUUGUGUCAAGGCGGUUUCUUGUUCGUACCAACUCAGUUACUUCAUGAACGGUUGCAGCAAUUUGAGAUGCCCAGUAACACUACCCAGUUCCGUGAAUAUUCUUUGCCUCAGGGUGCAUCCUGCGUUGUCCCUUCAGGAUUUAAGGUCAGGUCUAAGAUGCUAGAGUCUUUGGGCUACCCCCUACCACCACCACUGGUGUUUGAGUUCAAUGGGCGAUUAAUUGGUACGUUUGAAGAAAGGUUUGGUGAACUUCAUGUCUGGAAAGGAUACCGUUUAGACAUCUACGCCAACUAUGAGAAGCCUCUCUGGAAGCAGCUUGGAAAAAAAGUUGUUGAGCGUGUUUCUAAAAGUGUUGUCUCAGUUGCUUCAUUCAAUGGUAACAACGUGAGGUGUUUUGCUUGCACAGGCUUGCUUAUAACUAUUGAGCACCGCAUGUUUGUCCUUACUGCGGCCAGUUUGGUUAGAACUGGUGAUGCUAAAAACAACAUUGAUCUGAACUUGAUGAUUAAGGUGUUUCUACCGCCAGAACAAUCGGUGGUGGGGAAAUUGGAAUUUUACCAUCAAGAUUACAACAUUGCCGUUCUCAGUCUCGAGGAUAAUCUCACUGAUGUUUGUCCACAAGAUAUCUUCGUAGCCACAAGGUUAUCUAAAUCUGAGGUGGUUGCUAUUGGGCGUACAACUAAAGAUAAUGGUGGGUUAUUGAUGGCCUCAAAGGGUAACAGGAAGUCUAUAAUAAGUUCAAGAAACAAGGAUCCGGGUUCAGAACUUGAUUGCAAAGAUCUCAAGUUCUCAACUUGUCAAAUCAAGAAGGUUGGGAUUGGAGGGCCCCUUAUUUGUCUUGAUGAUGGGAGUUUUGUUGGCAUGAACUUCUAUGAUGAAAGUGGAACGACUCCUUAUCUGCCAAGGAGCAAUAUUGUAAAAGUUUUAAAGAGAGGGAAUAAUCUUCUGUCACAAGGAAAAUUGCUCCCUCCCAUUAGCCUUGACACGAAGAGAGGUGGUAAUGCUGCAGAGAGGAUCCGGUGGACUGUACCCAAGCCAUAUUGGUUUAUUGCUGGUCAAGUUGAUGUUCUAGGCCAUCUUGUUGGUAAAGUUCCCAUGUAG